rnacentral:rRNA from 1 species
GCGAAUGGCUCAUUAAAUCAGUUAUCGUUUAUUUGAUAGUACCUUACUACUUGGAUAACCGUGGUAAUUCUAGAGCUAAUACAUGCUGAAAACCCCAACUUCGGGAGGGGUGUAUUUAUUAGAUAAAAAACCAACGCCCCUCGGGGCUUCUUGGUGAUUCAUGAUAACUUUACGGAUCGCAUGGCCUUGCGCCGGCGACGGUUCAUUCAAAUUUCUGCCCUAUCAACUUUCGAUGGUAAGGUAUUGGCUUACCAUGGUUUCAACGGGUAACGGGGAAUUAGGGUUCGAUUCCGGAGAGGGAGCCUGAGAAACGGCUACCACAUCCAAGGAAGGCAGCAGGCGCGCAAAUUACCCAAUCCCGACACGGGGAGGUAGUGACAAUAAAUACUGAUACAGGGCUCUUUUGGGUCUUGUAAUUGGAAUGAGUACAAUUUAAACCUCUUAACGAGGAACAAUUGGAGGGCAAGUCUGGUGCCAGCAGCCGCGGUAAUUCCAGCUCCAAUAGCGUAUAUUAAAGUUGUUGCAGUUAAAAAGCUCGUAGUUGAACCUUGGGUCUGGCUGGCAGGUCCGCCUCACCGCGUGUACUUGUCCGGCCGGGCCUUCCUUCUGGAGAACCUCAUGCCCUUCACUGGGCGUGUUGGGGACCAGGACUUUUACUUUGAAAAAAUUAGAGUGUUCAAAGCAGGCCUUUGCUCGAAUACGUUAGCAUGGAAUAAUAGAAUAGGACGUGCGGUCCUAUUUUGUUGGUUUCUAGGACCGCCGUAAUGAUUAAUAGGGACAGUCGGGGGCAUCAGUAUUCAAUUGUCAGAGGUGAAAUUCUUGGAUUUAUUGAAGACUAACUACUGCGAAAGCAUUUGCCAAGGAUGUUUUCAUUAAUCAGUGAACGAAAGUUAGGGGAUCGAAGACGAUCAGAUACCGUCGUAGUCUUAACCGUAAACUAUGCCGACUAGGGAUCGGGCGAUGUUCUUUUUCUGACUCGCUC